GCCUGAGUGGCUCAGUGGUUGAGCGCCUCCCUUCGGCCCAGGGAAGGCUUCUGGGGUCCUGGGAUCGAGUCCCAGGUCGGGCU
rnacentral:tRNA from 1 species